CGCUGUUCCCCUCUGGAGGCUCUUUAGCCUUCAUACCUUGCAGGGCCCGGUUCAACCGCGGCCCUCUUUUUUUUGCAAGA
rnacentral:misc_RNA from 1 species